UACGGGGGGGGGGGCAAGCGUUGUUUGGAAUUACUGGGCGUAAAGGGCGCGUAGGCGGCCACUGCAAGUCAGUUGUGAAAUCUCCGGGCUUAACCCGGAAAGGUCAACUGAUACUGCAGGGCUAGAGUGCAGAAGGGGCAACUGGAAUUCUCGGUGUAGCGGUGAAAUGCGUAGAUAUCGAGAGGAACACCUGCGGCGAAGGCGGGUUGCUGGGCUGACACUGACGCUGAUGUGCGAAAGCUAGGGGAGCGAACGGG
rnacentral:rRNA from 1 species